AAUUUUUUAUAAUAAACAAGAAUAUAGUUUCUAUAUUCUUCUACGUAUAUAUAUUGUAAACUUCAUGCACCUAAGCCCCAACGAAACGUAAAUUGGUUUAUCAUAACGAAAACCUAAUCAUGGAGAGAAUGAGAGUCAUACUAAUCACUGCAUUAUUGUUCAUAAGCGUGGUGGUUGCAGAACAUUCUGGUGGUGGUAAAGCCAUCAAUCCUAUAGAAGAUGCUGCAACCGAUGCAAGCACUAAUCUUGCUAAGGACGUUGGUAUGAGCUUGGCCAUUGAACAAAUACUUAAUGGACAAACUCAAGCGUACGAGAAUCCGAAGUUCAUGAGGCUUGUGACAUGUGGUUGGUGCAGACACUACGCAAAUUACGUCUGAUCAAGAGUCACCGCCGCCGAGGAUAUAUGGACUACAUCUUCGGAGAUAAAUAUAUGAUACAGGAGAAGUACUGCCUUGCAUAUUAUAAUAUAAUAGAACAAUAAUUGCAAUGCGUUAUAAAUUAUCCUAUAUAUGUAAUGAAUAAUCUCUUGUAUCUGCAAACAUUGAAUAAACUAUUGUAUGUGGAUGUUACUAAAAAAUUUAACUCUAUUUUUUCUCUCUAA